CGCCCAAUCCUGUUGGACCUUCCGAGUUUAUUUAUUUAUUUUUUUUUUUCUGGGCUGUUAUUUUUACGAUUGGCGCUCAUUUCUCUGCACCGACAGACGUUCGUUCACCAGAAACUGACAACGGCAGCAAAAGAACAAUACUUUCGUUUAAAAGCAAACAAGAGUUGGGAAAAGUGUCUACUCAUUAGUGAAGACGAAUGUUCUUUUAUUUUAGAAAGACAUUCGCCAUGCGUUCACAUUGGUCGAACGUGACUUUCUUCUAACGUUUAAUCAGCGUUGACCGAGAAAAUUGUGUGUGCGUUUCAAAGUGCAAGUGUUGUAUUGUUUUUCUUAUUUGCCCAACUCCAAUGGCGGCGACAAUUCAUCGAGUCACGUGAUCCAAAGUUUUUUCUUUUUCCUAAAUCGUUGGACGGUCGUCGUGUGUUAUCUCGACAAACGGCCUCCGCCUUGUCUAUUUGGCCACCCCUCCCCGUUCUCCUGAUAUCAGCAAAGAUUUUAUUUUUUUUCGUUCCGUCCGACAUUUUCUUUCAAAACUAGGGAGACACAUUUAACAUCUCGUGUUUGUGGGGUUCGGUCGUACUGUGAAUUAAGUGGUGCAAACUCUUUAAAAAAAAAAAAAAAAGUAUUACGUGAAAUUGUUGUGUGAGUGUUUUUUGAAGAGAAAAAUGGAGAUGCUCAAUUCCUUAAACAUUUUAGCCGGCAAGAUCUCACCGCAGAAUCACGAAGAAACGACUACAACUUCGUCCACAACAUCGGCCAGUUCAGCCGACCAUUCGCCAUCAUCCAGGAUGAACGGAGGUGGUCGUGUAGUUGCCGACCAGCCCGAUCCCGACGCCAUCAAAAUGUUUGUCGGCCAAAUUCCGCGAUCCAUGGACGAGAACGAUUUACGGAAAAUGUUUGAAGAAUACGGCCAAGUCCACCAGGUCAACGUCCUCCGUGACAAAGUCACUGGACAGAGUAAAGGAUGCUGUUUUGUCACGUUCUACAAGCGCAAAGAUGCCCUGCAGGCACAAAACGAUAUGCACAACAUCAAAACAUUGAAUGGGAUGCAUCAUCCGAUCCAAAUGAAACCAGCAGACAGCGAGAAUCGCAAUGAGCGGAAACUCUUUGUGGGCAUGUUGUCGAAAAAGAUCAGCGAGAACGACGUGCGCAUCAUGUUCAGCGCCUACGGAUCCAUCGAAGAGUGCACCGUCCUCCGAGACAACAACAACAUCAGUCGAGGCUGUGCUUUUGUGACGUUCACGUCGCGUCAGUCCGCCGUCACUGCCAUCAAGACGAUGCAUCACUCACAAACGAUGGAGGGAUGUUCUUCACCGAUGGUCGUGAAAUUCGCCGAUACCCAAAAAGAAAAGGAUCAAAAACGUGUCCACCAUGUUGGUAGCCCGAAUUUAUGGAGUGGCAUCGGCAUCAACAGUCUACCUCCACAAUAUCUAACGGGUCUGCCUUCGAAUGGUGGCGGAAGUUUGUCGCAAUUGAGCGGGCUCAAUGCAUUGGGUGUCCAGCAACUAUUGGCAGCGUCGUCGCAGAAUUCGCUGGCCAACACUCAAGCCGCUUUACAAAGUCUAGCCAACUUACAAAAUCAGGCCGGAUUAGGAAUGAGCGGAAAUGGCAGUCCAGGCUCUGGCGUCAACGACCUCAAUUCAAGUCUGGCCGCCUUGGCCAAUUUCAAUAGUCAAAACAUUUUCGGCUCGUUAGAUAUCAACGCGAUGAAUAUGCAAAAUUUGGCCGCGUUGGCUGCCAUCGCCGGUAACGGCAACGGUGGAAUCCCCUCGCUCGGUUCAGCUUUCACGCACGGAGACGUCAUUGUACCUGUGACAGCUUCAGGGGGCCAUUGGGGUCCCAUCGUCGGAGGAUCAGCCAAUAAUUCGAUGACUCAUCUGGCCGCUGCGACAUCUGGAACGGCUCCAGCUCAUUCCAAUAGCCAACAACAACAGAAUUUAAUCAACAAUCGUAGCGCGAGUAGCGCAGCAACGUCGACGGGAAUCAAUGGACUGGGCACGUCGGCCAACGCGGCCGUUGCGGCUGCCGCAAGUCUGGAAGCUCUGGCCACCGCUUACACGGCCGGCAUCCAGCAAUUCACUACAGCUUUUCCCAAUUUCACUGGCGGCCAAAUGGGAAUGAAUGGCGCCAAUGGAGGAAGUGUUAGUCCAUUGGGUGGUGGUGGAAGUGUGACGGGCAGCGGAUUACGUCAACAGGAGGGACCGGAAGGAUCGAACCUGUUCAUCUACCAUUUGCCACAAGAGUUUGGCGAUACGGACCUCUAUCAAGCCUUUUCACCCUUUGGCAACAUCCUAUCGGCCAAAGUCUUUAUCGACAAACAGACCAAUCUCUCCAAAUGUUUUGGUUUCGUGUCGUACGACAACCCGAUGAGCUCGCAGGCAGCCAUCCAGGCCAUGAACGGCUUCCAGAUCGGCACCAAACGGCUCAAAGUCCAGCUGAAACGUUCCAAAGACGCCUCAAAACCUUACUAGAAAAGAAAUGAUUUGAGGCUAACAAAACAAAAGAAAAAAUUUUUUUUUUGGGGGGGGGGAAAACAAAAGAAAAGAAAAAAAUUGGACUAUUUUUUUUUUUUAAUUUCCUUGAGACGUCAGUGAACGCAACAAAUCCAUCCCCCCAUCCAAAAAUUAAAACGUACAAUGUGACUGGAUUUAAAAAAAAACACGCCUUUCUCCCCUCUUUUUUGGUAGUUUCCUUGUGUUCGUGUGUCCGUGUGCACCACCUCCACACCACAUCCAACCACCAAACAAAAAAAAAAUAAUAAUAAUAAAAGUUUACCUUCGUAAACGUGUGUGUGUGUGUCAACCCCAUCCUUUUUUUUUUUCAUCUCAUGUUUCCUUCUUUCGUCUCAUAGGCAAACAUGUAUUGUAAUUCGUUUUACGUUUGUAACCCGCGUUCUUGUGUCUGUGUGUCUCUUUUUGCAACAUUUCAAAAGGCAAAAACUCCUUUUAGUUUCAAUGUUCUUUUGUUUUUGUUUUUUUUUCUUCGUCCUUUUCCAUUGUUAUGUUGAUAGAAAAGCGUUCUAUAAGAUUAUUGUUGAGAAAAAUUGUUCUUUUUUCGUGUGUGUGUGUGUGUUACCCUGUCUAAAUGAGCUGGGUCAGAUGCCAAAAUGUCGUUGUUUCGCGAUUUUCUGCGCUGCGUUUGUUUUCUGUUUUUAAAUCGAGUAUGAUUUUUGUUUUCGAUGUUGAUGUCGUCGACAUGGAUGUAGUGAUCAGCUAGUCCCACACACCCCACAUACAUAUAGUAUAUAUAUAUAUAUAUAUAUAAUUAAUUAUAAUUUUAGAGUGUAUGAAAUACGAAUGUGUUCUUUUAUACCUCCCUCCCACACACACAUGCACCAUCGUCAAUUUCGCUUUGACUGUACGCUAACAGAUGGCGUUGCUAGUGACACGUCCAAGUGGACAUCCUUCAUGUGCCUUUUUUUUCCCUAAAAAUUCGGAUGAAAGGAAACAACAAAAGAAAAAGACAAAUUUUUUGACAAGUUGUAUACGCACUAGUCAUAUAGCAAACAAGAAGAACACACACGCGUACGGCCAAUUUACCACAAGUAUAAAACUAUAUUGACAAUGACUGGCAAAAAAAUGAUUUUAAAAAAGCCGUUUCCAGUUGUGUCGACUCUGUUUGAUCCAUCUUUUGAAUUGAAAGGUGGGAAAACAGCUUCAACAGUACACCAAAUGGACACCUAAAAUAGUUGUAUCUUUGUCAAAUUUCUAUGUUUUAUUUUUCAUUCAGUGAAUGUUUGUCAUUUUUGUUGCGUAUGACGUGAAUUGUUGCUGCUGUUGUUGGCACGUGAUCUCGUCUUUUCUAUUUUUGUUUUGGUCCCUAUUUUUUUUUUUUUUUUCGUUUAUGACGGACAACAACGAGCAGCGUACAUUUUCGGCUAUUGAUUGACGUCGAAGCAUUCACUUUUUGGGGAAGAAUGUUUGUUCAAUCCUCACAUCAUACUUAACAAAACGGAAGAGCCAGAAAGAAAUUCAACGUGUCCUUCAGUUUUUCUCCAAAGAAACACACAAACUUGCGACCUUAUGAGCACUGGUUGAUGGUAGUCGAAAUUGUAGUAUUCAUUUCAGUUCUAAACAUCAGAAAGUUCCUGUCGGAGAGAAAGAAAAUUUUGAAUUUCGGGUGAAAUCGACGUUGCCAAAUUAUUUUGUUAUCCUUUGUCAAUGCUUUUUUUUUCCCCACUUUUUUGCAUUUUUCUUAUGCACCGCAAAGUAUAGUCGAUUCAGAUAAACUUGAUGUUUAAAAAAUAACGUUUUUUUUUUGUAAUAAUGGAAUACUGUAACGUAUUUCAGCACAUCGCAGUGCGAUUUCUUUUGCCCAUUUUUAUGAUGAUUUUUCUCCCGAAUGAUGGCAGCCAAGUGAAACAGUUAAUACAAUAUUUUAAAUUAG